rnacentral:piRNA from 1 species
AGGAACUGGAGAGAUGGCUCAGGGG